rnacentral:snRNA from 1 species
UCUGUAGAGACCAUCCAACUUUUG